rfam:Trichobilharzia regenti genome assembly, scaffold: TRE_scaffold0000058
AUCCAGAUGACGAGUCCCAAAUAGGCUGAAAUGCGCAUCCUGGAU